rnacentral:rRNA from 1 species
GGGUUCGAUUCUGGCUCAGAUUGAACGCUGGCGGAUGCUUGUACAUGCAAGUCGAACGGCAGCACGGACUUUCGGUCUGGUGGCGAGUGGCGAACGGGUGAGUAAUGUAUCGGAACGUGCCUAGUAGCGGGGAGGAAUUACGCGAAAGCGUAGCUAAUACCGCAUACGUUCUUCGGGGGAAAGUGGGGACCUUCGGGCCUUCGCACUAUUAGAGCGGCUGAUAUCGAUUUAAGAAGAAGCUGGUGGGGUAACGGCUCACCGCGACGAUCCGUAGCUGGUUUGAGAGGACGACCAGCCACACUGACUGAGACACGGCCUGACUCUACGGGAGGCAGGGAAUUUUGGACAAUGGGGGAAACCCUGAUCCAGGCCAUCCUGCGUGAUGAAGGCCUUCGGGUUGUGAAGCACUUUUGGCAGGAAGAAACGGCACGGGAUAAUACCCCGUGCAACUGACGGUACCUGCAGAAUAAGCACCGGCUAACCACAUGCGCCAGCAGCCGCGGUAAUACGUAGGGUGCAAGCGUUAAUCAAUUACUGGGCGUAAAGGUGCGCAGGCGGUUCGAAAGAAAGAUGUGAAAUCCCAGAGCUUAAUCUUGGGAACUGCAUUUUUAACUACCGAGCUAGGAGCGUGUCAGAGGGAGGUGGAAUUCCGCGUGUAGUGAAAUGCGUAGAUAUGCGGAGGAACACCGAUGGCGAAGGCAGCCUCCUGGGAUAACACUGACGCUCAUGCACGAAAGCGUGGGGAGCAACAGGAUUAGAUACCCUGGUAGUCCACGCCCUAAACGAUGUCAACUAGCUGUUGGGGCCUUCGGGCCUUGGUAGUGGUGCCAACGGUGAAGUUGACCGCCUGGGGAGUACGGUCGCAAGAUUAAAAACUCAAAGGAAUUGACGGGACCGCACAAGCGGUGGAUGAUGUGGAUUAAUUCGAUGCAACGCUGAAAACUUUACCUACCUUUGACAUGUCUGGGAACCUGAAGAGAUUUGGGAGUGCUCGCAAGAGAACCGGAACACAGGUGCUGCAUGGCUGUCGUCAGCCCGUGUCGUGAGAUGUUGGGUUAAGUCCCGCAACGAGCGCAACCCCUGUCAUUAGUUGUUACGAAAGGGCACUCUAAUGAGACUGCCGGUGACAAACCGGAGGAAGGUGGGGAUGACGUCAAGUCUCAUGGCCCUUAUGGGUAGGGCUUCACAUCAUGUCGGUCGGGACAGAGGGUCGCCAACCUGGGGCGAGGUGGAGCCAAUCCAGAAACCCGAUCGUAGUCCGGAUCGCAGUCUGCAACUCGACUGCGUGAAGUCGGAAUCGCCAGCAAUCGCGGAUCAGCAUGUCGCGGUGAAUACGUUCCCGUCCUGUACACACCGCCCGUCACACCAUGGGAGUGGGUUUACCAGAAGUAGUUAGCCUAACCGUAAGGAGGGCGAUUACCACGGUAGGAUUCAUGACUGGGGUGAAGUCGUGUGUUACGU